GGGGGCGGAUCGGGCCCGGUGGCUCGUGCGGUCUUCAAAACCGUUGUGGGGGGUGACGAGCCUCCCAGGUGGGUUCGACUCCCAUGCGCCCUCG
rnacentral:tRNA from 1 species